rnacentral:rRNA from 1 species
UACGAAGGGGGCUAGCGUUGCUCGGAAUGACUGGGCGUAAAGGGCGCGUAGGCGGAUUGUACAGUCAGGCGUGAAAUUCCCGGGCUCAGCCUGGGGGCUGCGCUUGAGACGUGCGAUCUUGAGUGGGGAAGAGGGUCGUGGAAUUCCCAGUGUAGAGGUGAAAUUCGUAGAUAUUGGGAAGAACACCGGUGGCGAAGGCGGCGACCUGGGCCAAUAUUGACGCUGAGGUGCGAAAGCGUGGGGAGCAAACAGG